rnacentral:rRNA from 1 species
UACGAAGGGGGCUAGCGUUGUUCGGAUUUACUGGGCGUAAAGCGCACGUAGGCGGAUUGGUCAGUUAGGGGUGAAAUCCUGGAGCUCAACUCCAGAACUGCCUUUAAUACUGCCAGUCUCGAGUCCGGAAGAGGUAAGUGGAACUCCUAGUGUAGAGGUGGAAUUCGUAGAUAUUAGGAAGAACACCAGUGGCGAAGGCGGCUUACUGGUCCGGUACUGACGCUGAGGUACGAAAGCGUGGGGAGCAAACAGG